rnacentral:rRNA from 1 species
AUACGUAGGGGACGAGCGUUGUCCGGAAUUACUGGGCGUAAAGGGCGCGCAGGCGGAUAUUUAAGUCAGCUGUAAAAGGCAUGAGCUCAACUCAUGUAUGCGGUUGAAACUGGGUAUCUAGAGUGCUGGAGAGGUAGGCGGAAUUCCCGGGGUAGCAGUGAAAUGCGUAGAUAUUGGGAAGAACACCAGUGGCGAAGGCGGCUUACUGGCCAGCAACUGACGCUGAGGCGCGAAAGCCAGGGGAGCGAGCGGGAUUAGAUACCCCGGUAGUCCUGGCCGUAAACGAUGAAUGCUAGGUGUGGGUGUCGAGAGGCAUCCGUGCCGGAGUUAACGCGAUAAGCAUUCCGCCUGGGGAGUACGAUCGCAAGAUUGAAACUCAAAGGAAUUGACGGGG